rnacentral:rRNA from 1 species
CCCGCGCACCGGGAAUACGCUCUGGAAACGGAGAACAAAUCCCGAUGUACAGGAAGGAGGCAUCUUCUUUCUGUGAAACAUCCUUUCGGGGAUGGGGCGCGGAUGGACCUGCGGUGCAUUAGUUUGUUGGCGGGGUAAAGGCCCACCAAGACGAUGAUGCAUAGCCGGCCUGAGAGGGCGGACGGCCACAUUGGGACUGAGACACGGCCCAGACUCCUGCGGGAGGCAGCAGUAGGGAAUUUUCGUCAAUGGGCGCAAGCCUGAACGAGCGAUGCCGCGUGAGUGAAGAAGGCCUUCGGGUCGUAAAGCUCUGUUGCGGGGAAAAAAGGCAGCAUCAGGAAAUGGGUGCUGACUGAUGGUGCCCCGCCAGAAAGUCACGGCUAACUACGUGCCAGCAGCCGCGGUAAUACGUAGGUGGCGAGCGUUAUCCGGAAUGAUUGGGCGUAAAGGGUGCGCAGGCGGUCCUGCAAGUCUGGAGUGAAACGCAUGAGCUCAACUCAUGCAUGGCUUUGGAAACUGGAGGACUGGAGAGCAGGAGAGGGCGGUGGAACUCCAUGUGUAGCGGUAAAAUGCGUAGAUAUAUGGAAGAACACCAGUGGCGAAGGCGGCCGCCUGGCCUGUUGCUGACGCUGAGGCACGAAAGCGUGGGGAGCAAAU